UUUAGGAUUUUAAGCCCAAACCGCCGACCCUAUCCUAAUAUAGUUGGGUUGUCAACCCAUUUUCACCUAUCCUAAUUUUAUAUUUUUUAGCCAUUAGCUCGAGUCCCGCUUCACCUGUAUUAAGUACAACUUUGGCUUCGAGGCCUAAAUGAGUAAAUAAGAAAAUAAAUAAAGACGGCAAUAAGUAAAUGGACAAAAUAAUGAAUGAGACUUUCAAAUCUCAUAGCUGCUUCAAAGAUAAAAAUCUGAUCUACUUUCUUCUUCCUUCAAUGACUCGCAUUCGUAUGCUAUGCUAUCUUAUACUCUCUUUCGAGCUCGACUCAAUGGAUGGGCCUUAUUGGCUCAUUAAGAAAUGCAAAGAGUCCGUUUGUACUCCAACAAAUUCACAUGCAUCGAAAUAAAGAGAAAAGGGUUAAGGCACUACAUUAGACCUUUAAA
rnacentral:lncRNA from 1 species